rnacentral:rRNA from 1 species
GACGAACGCUGGCGGCGUGCUUAACACAUGCAAGUCGAACGAUGAAGCCUAGCUUGCUAGGUGGAUUAGUGGCGAACGGGUGAGUAAUACGUGAGUGACCUACCUUUGACUCUGGGAUAAGCCUGGGAAACUGGGUCUAAUACCGGAUACGACCAAUCUCCGCUUGGGGUGUUGGUGGAAAGCGUUAUGUAGUGGUUUUAGAUGGUCUCACGGCCUAUCAGCUUGUUGGUGAGGUAAUGGCUUACCAAGGCGACGACGGGUAGCCGGCCUGGGAGGGUGACCGGCCACACUGGGACUGAGAAACGGCCCAGACUCCUACGGGAGGCAGCAGUGGGGAAUAUUGCACAAUGGGCGCAAGCCUGAUGCAGCGACGCCGCGUGAGGGAUGACGGCCUUCGGGUUGUAAACCUCUGUUAGCAUCGAAGAAGCGAAAGUGACGGUAGGUGCAGAGAAAGCGCCGGCUAACUACGUG